ensembl:lncRNA
CUCUGUCUUCCAGCCAAAAUAACACACUGUAAGCUGGGGUGUAGUUGAAAGUGAAACCGCGUAUUUUUUAAAGGUUUAAAAGCUCAUUUGAAGAAGGGCAAAGGGUCAGGAAAGAAAGAGUUCCAUUUACAGAGACUUGGCAAAUCUUUCCCAAGGAAGAUGUCCCACUUACAACGUGUACUUUCCACUCUGUGCACGGCCCCCAGGCUGGGGCCAAGGUGGCUGGUCAGCGUUCUUGUCCACAGUGGUGACGAAGACUUGACUUCUGAAGUUUGCUCUGGGGAAAGAGAGCGGAAGAAGGGAAUCAAAGAGAAGAAGAGGGACCAAUUUCAAAACAGGCAAAGCUGGGACUUGACUAGAAUUUCCAGCCACUCUUUCUGCAUGGCAUAUUCUGGCAAGGUCUAUGGAAAAUGAAGAAGCCUUCGAAUGAAUUUCAUUCCAUGGUAAAAUACAAUCUCAAGCCCUGGGGAAUUUGGAGAGAUGUGGAACUUUUGACCCCUUGUCUGAGUCUGUCUGUCCAAUAAGUGUGAAGGAGGAGGUCAGCUCCAGCUCCCAGUCAACCAUUUAGGUCAGAGAAUGAUUUCACCAAGUCAGCGAGGUUUGCCACUGUCAGCUGCAAACCUCCACAGCAGAAUGAGUGGCGCGGGUGCAGCCCUCUUUGCUCUUGUCAAUGAAAACCUAUUGCGUUGACAACAGAGUACAGAAUAAUGGCAACAGAGAAUAUGGCGGGGGGUUAGCACUUUCAGAGGCUGCAGGGCACGGCUUGACAUGAAUAAGCCAACUCCUCUUAUGGAUUGAAUUGUGUACCCCCAAAAAAGCAUUGAAGUCCUAACCCCCAAUACCUGUGAAUGUGGCCCUAUGUGGAAAUAGGGCCUUAUGUAGAUGAUCGACUUGAGACUGUCACAGGGUGGUGGGCCUCCUAGGUAUGACUGGUGUCCUUAUAGAAAGGGGAAUUUGGACGCAGAGAUGGACGUGCAUGGAGAGGGGGCGAUGUGAAGACUGGGAGGAGACAGUGCUCUAGGAACCAAGGAACCCCUGAAGCUACCAGGAGCGAGGCCUGCAGCAAAGAGUCCCUCAAGCCCCAGAAUGAACCAGCCCUGCUGACACCUCCGUCUCAGACUCGUAGCCUCUAGAACAUGGGAUAAUAAAUUUCCAUGGUUCUAAGCCACCUGGUUUAUGGCCCUUUGUUGUGGCCACCCCAGCAAACUCUUAUACCCCGCCGUGUGAGGUGGGUGUCUCAUUAUCCCCAUGUCAUGAACACAGCGCUAGAGAGAGAUGUUACAGAAACCAGAGGUUCAAACAGCAGGUGAAUAACACCGUCGAGAUUUGAACUCAACUCUCUGUGACCAUAAAGCUCCAGCUCAUCACCACAUCACUCCAAGGUCCUUGUGAGCUUGUGUCUCGGGACGGGACAUCUGCUUCAUUCCCCUCAAUGCAUGAAGGAAGUCAAGGAUACCAAAGAGGUCAAAGAUCACACUCAAGGUCACCCAGCCCCUCAGCAGCCAAGUUGACAUAGGGGACACAGCUCACUGACAGGGCUCCAUCCCCUCUCCUAGCUGGCCCCCGUCAUGUUGGCCAGGGAGCCACUCUCAGCCAGGCAAGGAAAGAGCACAUUUGGGUCUGGAGUUGUAGGUGGUGCUCCAGGGGUGCUCACUCCAUCAGAAGGGCAGGGGGCAGAGCGGGGGGGUUCUGAGUGGAAGUGCAGGCCACGGCCCCCACCAUACCUGACUUCUUUCUCUGGGACAUGCAUGCUGGGGAGGGAACACGGAGAACCAGGGAAAUGAACACCUAGGAGGGGAGGACACUUAUUU